GAUGAACGCUGGCGGCGUGCCUAAUACAUGCAAGUCGAGCGAACAGAUGAGGAGCUUGCUCCUCUGACGUUAGCGGCGGACGGGUGAGUAACACGUGGAUAACCUACCUAUAAGACUGGGAUAACUUCGGGAAACCGGAGCUAAUACCGGAUAAUAUAUUGAACCGCAUGGUUCAAUAGUGAAAGACGGUUUUGCUGUCACUUAUAGAUGGAUCCGCGCCGCAUUAGCUAGUUGGUAAGGUAACGGCUUACCAAGGCAACGAUGCGUAGCCGACCUGAGAGGGUGAUAGGCCACACUGGAACUGAGACACGGGCCAGACUCCUACGGGAGGCAGCAGUAGGGAAUCUUCCGCAAUGGGCGAAAGCCUGACGGAGCAACGCCGCGUGAGUGAUGAAGGUCUUCGGAUCGUAAAACUCUGUUAUUAGGGAAGAACAAAUGUGUAAGUAACUAUGCACGUCUUGACGGUACCUAAUCAGAAAGCCACGGCUAACUACGUG
rnacentral:rRNA from 1 species